rnacentral:lncRNA from 1 species
AAGUGCUUCAUUUGAAUGAUAAAGUUUAAUUCAAAGCGAGAAUAUUUAUUAAGAUAAAUAAUUACAGCACACGUUAUAAUCUAUCAAAGUUUCUAUAGUGGAAAUUAAGCACAAAACCAGAAUCUUUAGGCAUAGUACACGUACCAAUCAUUCAUCAAUCAUCCACGUACAUUUUCUAGCUAAUGAGCUCCUAGAAUAUGAAUCAGAAUUUAUAUAUAAGUAGAAAGGAAGCCAUGCAAGGUUGGGUGGAUGGUGGGUCUUCAAUCACCUCCGCAACCACCACAGCCACCGCCAUCGCUGCCACCUCCUCCACAGCCGCAACAACCUACCGCCUCUCCGGCCGCUCCCAUGUCAAUCUCAACUUGGCGUUUUUCCUUUUCCUCAUUCUUAUUUUCUUCUUCUCCUUGAGGAGGAGGAGGAUCCACACAUGCAAAAGCUAUCAUUGAUAGGAUUGAAAUUGCUAUCAAAACUUGGCAAAGUAGCACUGCGCCACCAAAAAAACUGUUGAAACUUUCGUUCUGUAAAUUUACUACUAAUUGUUCCAUUUUCCUUUUUUCC